rnacentral:rRNA from 1 species
AUUGAACGCUGGCGGCAGGCCUAACACAUGCAAGUCGAGCGAGCGGCGGACGGGUGAGUAAUGUCUGGGAAACUGCCUGAUGGAGGGGGAUAACUACUGGAAACGGUAGCUCAUACCGCAUACCAUCAGAUGUGCCCAGAUGGGAUUAGCUGGUAGGUGGGGUAACGGCUCACCUAGGCGACGAUCCCUAGCUGGUCGGAGAGGAUGACCAGACACACUGGAACGGAGACACGGUCCAGACUCCUACGGGAGGCAGCAGUGGGGAAUAGUGGAAAAGGGGGGCAAGCCGGAUGCAGCCAUGCGGCGUGGGGGAAGAAGGCCGUCGGGUUGUAAAGCACUUUCAGCGGGGAGGCGUUACCCGCAGAAGAAGCACCGGCUAACUCCGUGCCAGCAGCCGCGGUAAUAC